CUGCCCUACGGGACGCAGCAGGGGGGAAUAUUGGACAAUGGGGGGAACCCUGAUCCAGCGACGCCGCGUGAGUGAAGAAGUAUUUCGGUAUGUAAAGCUCUAUCAGCAGGGAAGAAAGAAAUGACGGUACCUGACUAAGAAGCCCCGGCUAACUACGUGCCAGCAGCCGCGGUAAUACGUAGGGGGCAAGCGUUAUCCGGAUUUACUGGGUGUAAAGGGAGCGUAGACGGCGAUGCAAGUCUGCAGUGAAAGGCGGGAGCUCAACCCGCGGACUGCUUUGGAAACUGGAUGGCUGGAGU
rnacentral:rRNA from 1 species